rnacentral:siRNA from 1 species
UCAUCUAGCUCAUUGAUUUCGGUC